rnacentral:rRNA from 1 species
UUGUUGGGUAGGGGAGCGUUCUGUAAGCCGUCGAAGGUGGCCUGUGAGGGCUGCUGGAGGUAUCAGAAGUGCGAAUGCUGACAUAAGUAACGAUAAAGCGGGUGAAAAGCCCGCUCGCCGGAAGACCAAGGGUUCCUGUCCAACGUUAAUCGGGGCAGGGUGAGUCGACCCCUAAGGCGAGGCCGAAAGGCGUAGUCGAUGGGAAACGGGUUAAUAUUCCCGUACUGGGUGUUACUGCGAAGGGGGGACGGAGAAGGCUAUGUUAGCCGGGCGACGGUUGUCCCGGUUUAAGCAUGUAGGCUUGAGUUCCAGGCAAAUCCGGAACUCUUUAAGGCUGAGGUGUGAUGACGAGGCACUACGGUGCUGAAGUAACAAAUGCCCUGCUUCCAGGAAAAGCCUCUAAGCAUCAGGUAACAUCCAAUCGUACCCCAAACCGACACAGGUGGUCAGGUAGAGAAUACCAAGGCGCUUGAGAGAACUCGGGUGAAGGAACUAGGCAAAAUGGUGCCGUAACUUCGGGAGAAGGCACGCUGGCGCGUAGGUGAAGGGACUUGCUCCCGGAGCUGAAGCCAGUCGAAGAUACCAGCUGGCUGCAACUGUUUAUUAAAAACACAGCACUGUGCAAACACGAAAGUGGACGUAUACGGUGUGACGCCUGCCCGGUGCCGGAAGGUUAAUUGAUGGGGUUAUCCGCAAGGAGAAGCUCUUGAUCGAAGCCCCGGUAAACGGCGGCCGUAACUAUAACGGUCCUAAGGUAGCGAAAUUCCUUGUCGGGUAAGUUCCGACCUGCACGAAUGGCGUAAUGAUGGCCAGGCUGUCUCCACCCGAGACUCAGUGAAAUUGAACUCGCUGUGAAGAUGCAGUGUACCCGCGGCAAGACGGAAAGACCCCGUGAACCUUUACUACAGCUUGACACUGAACAUUGAGCCUUGAUGUGUAGGAUAGGUGGGAGGCUUCGAAGCGUGGACGCCAGUCUGCGUGGAGCCAACCUUGAAAUACCACCCUUUAACGUUUGAUGUUCUAACCUGGCGCCGUGAUCCGGCGUGGGGACAGUGUCUGGUGGGUAGUUUGACUGGGGCGGUCUCCUCCUAAAGAGUAACGGAGGAGCACGAAGGUCAGCUAAUCACGGUCGGACAUCGUGAGGUUAGUGCAAUGGCAUAAGCUGGCUUGACUGCGAGAGUGACGGCUCGAGCAGGUGCGAAAGCAGGUCAUAGUGAUCCGGUGGUUCUGAAUGGAAGGGCCAUCGCUCAACGGAUAAAAGGUACUCCGGGGAUAACAGGCUGAUACCGCCCAAGAGUUCAUAUCGACGGCGGUGUUUGGCACCUCGAUGUCGGCUCAUCACAUCCUGGGGCUGAAGUAGGUCCCAAGGGUACGGCUGUUCGCCGUUUAAAGUGGUACGCGAGCUGGGUUUAGAACGUCGUGAGACAGUUCGGUCCCUAUCUGCCGUGGGCGCUGGAGAAUUGAGAGGGGUUGCUCCUAGUACGAGAGGACCGGAGUGAACGCACCACUGGUGUUCGGGUUGUCAUGCCAAUGGCAUUGCCCGGUAGCUAAGUGCGGAAAAGAUAAGCGCUGAAAGCAUCUAAGCGCGAAACUUGCCUCGAGAUGAAUUCUCCCUGACUCCUUGAGAGUCCUGAAGGGACGUUGAAGACUACGACGUUGAUAGGCCGGGUGUGUAAGCGCAGCGAUGCGUUGAGCUAACCGGUACUAAUGACCCGUGAGGCUUAACCUUACAACGCCAGAAGCGUUCUG